GGCGUGCCUAAUACAUGCAAGUAGAACGCUGAAGAGAGGAGCUUGCUCUUCUUGGAUGAGUUGCGAACGGGUGAGUAACGCGUAGGUAACCUGCCUUGUAGCGGGGGAUAACUAUUGGAAACGAUAGCUAAUACCGCAUAACAAUGGAUGACACAUGUCAUUUAUUUGAAAGGGGCAAUUGCUUCACUACAAGAUGGACCUGCGUUGUAUUAGCUAGUAGGUGAGGUAACGGCUCACCUAGGCGACGAUACAUAGCCGACCUGAGAGGGUGAUCGGCCACACUGGGACUGAGACACGGCCCAGACUCCUACGGGAGGCAGCAGUAGGGAAUCUUCGGCAAUGGGGGCAACCCUGACCGAGCAACGCCGCGUGAGUGAAGAAGGUUUUCGGAUCGUAAAGCUCUGUUGUAAGUCAAGAACGAGUGUGAGAGUGGAAAGUUCACACUGUGACGGUAGCUUACCAGAAAGGGACGGCUAACUACGUGCCAGCAGCCGCGGUAAUACGUAGGUCCCGAGCGUUGUCCGGAUUUAUUGGGCGUAAAGCGAGCGCAGGCGGUUUGAUAAGUCUGAAGUUAAAGGCUGUGGCUCAACCAUAGUUCGCUUUGGAAACUGUCAAACUUGAGUGCAGAAGGGGGGAGUGGAAUUCCAUGUGUAGCGGUGAAAUGCGUAGAUAUAUGGAGGAACACCGGUGGCGAAAGCGGCUCUCUGGUCUGUAACUGACGCUGAGGCUCGAAAGCGUGGGGAGCGAACAGGAUUAGAUACCCUGGUAGUCCACGCCGUAAACGAUGAGUGCUAGGUGUUGGAUCCUUUCCGGGAUUCAGUGCCGCAGCUAACGCAUUAAGCACUCCGCCUGGGGAGUACGACCGCAAGGUUGAAACUCAAAGGAAUUGACGGGGGCCCGCACAAGCGGUGGAGCAUGUGGUUUAAUUCGAAGCAACGCGAAGAACCUUACCAGGUCUUGACAUCCCGAUGCUAUUUCUAGAGAUAGAAAGUUACUUCGGUACAUCGGUGACAGGUGGUGCAUGGUUGUCGUCAGCUCGUGUCGUGAGAUGUUGGGUUAAGUCCCGCAACGAGCGCAACCCCUAUUGUUAGUUGCCAUCAUUCAGUUGGGCACUCUAGCGAGACUGCCGGUAAUAAACCGGAGGAAGGUGGGGAUGACGUCAAAUCAUCAUGCCCCUUAUGACCUGGGCUACACACGUGCUACAAUGGUUGGUACAACGAGUUGCGAGUCGGUGACGGCAAGCUAAUCUCUUAAAGCCAAUCUCAGUUCGGAUUGUAGGCUGCAACUCGCCUACAUGAAGUCGGAAUCGCUAGUAAUCGCGGAUCAGCACGCCGCGGUGAAUACGUUCCCGGGCCUUGUACACACCGCCCGUCACACCACGAGAGUUUGUAACACCCGAAGUCGGUGAGGUAACCUUUUGGAGCCAGCCGCCUAAGGUGGGAUAGAUGAUUGGGGUGAAGUCAUA
rnacentral:rRNA from 1 species